rnacentral:rRNA from 1 species
UAACUUUUAGCAACGGAUCUCUUGGCUCUC